rnacentral:rRNA from 1 species
GACGAACGCUGGCGGCGUGCUUAACACAUGCAAGUCGAGCGGAAAGGCCCUUUCGGGGGUACUCGAGCGGCGAACGGGUGAGUAACACGUGAGUAAUCUGCCCCUGGCUUUGGGAUAGCCACCGGAAACGGUGAUUAAUACCGGAUACGAUCACUUCGCGCAUGGGAGGGUGGUGGAAAGUUUUUCGGCCAGGGAUGUGCUGGCGGCCUAUCAGCUUGAUGGUGAGGUAAUGGCUCACCAUGGCUUCGACGGGUAGCCGGCCUGAGAGGGUGACCGGUCACACUGGGACUGAGACACGGCCCAGACUCCUACGGGAGGCAGCAGUGGGGAAUGUUGGACAAUGGGCGGAAGCCUGAUCCAGCAACGCCGCGUGAGGGAUGACGGCCUUCGGGUUGUAAACCUCUUUCAGCAGGGACGAAGCGCAAGUGACGGUACCUGCAGAAGAAGCACCGGCCAACUACGUGCCAGCCGCCGCGGUAA